GUAGCGGUGAAAUGCGUAGAGAUCUGGAGGAAUACCGGUGGCGAAGGCGGCCCCCUGGACGAAGACUGACGCUCAGGUGCGAAAGCGUGGGGAGCAAACAGGAUUAGAUACCCUGGUAGUCCACGCCGUAAACGAUGUCGACUUGGAGGUUGUGGCUUCCGGAGCUAACGCGUUAAGUCGACCGCCUGGGGAGUACGGCCGCAAGGUUAAAACUCAAAUGAAUUGACGGGGGCCCGCACAAGCGGUGGAGCAUGUGGUUUAAUUCGAUGCAACGCGAAGAACCUUACCUGGUCUUGACAUCCAGGUGCUGCAUGGCUGUCGUCAGCUCGUGUUGUGAAAUGUUGGGUUAAGUCCCGCAACGAGCGCAACCCUUAUCCUUUGUUGCAACUCAAAGGAGACUGCCAGUGAUAAACUGGAGGAAGGUGGGGAUGACGUCAAGUCAUCACGGCCCUUACGACCAGGGCUACACACGUGCUACAAUGGCGCAUACAAAGAGAAGCGACCUCGCGAGAGCAAGCGGACCUCAUAAAGUGCGUCGUAGUCCGGAUUG
rnacentral:rRNA from 1 species